rnacentral:lncRNA from 1 species
AAUUUGUCUUUUUCACGAGAGGUGGAUCAAAACUUUUUACACCCAACCAUUUGGUCAAUUGUGCAUUAAAUAUGGCCUAGUAUUUUAUAAAAAUAAUUUGGUCCAAUUUUGCAACAAUUAUUUGGGAGGUCCUUCACAAAAAAACCUCCUUUUGGGCACUCGAAAAAUGGAAAAUGGUUUUUUCGUCCAAAGAAAAUGAAAAGUUCCUUAGGCAACAUCAUUUUCCAUUCCAAUAUGCACCCUUGUGCACAAUAUGAGAUCAUUUAAGCAAACUAUGCCAUGAAUGUGGCCAUAAGAUUGAUCAUUUGGCUUGAAAGCCAUUGAUCUCCACACAUGAUAGCUCGUUUCUGAGAACACUUUUUUAAAAUAAUUGUCGUAUUACAAUUUUGUUAUUUUUCCUGGGAACUUGGCCACAUAUAAUGACACAAUGCGAAGGUUUCCCAAUUUUUUGAUUUUUUUUGAAUUUUUUAUGCCCGUUUCAAAAUGCGGUCAAAACGGUGGGAAUGACCGUUCCUAGUUAGUGGUUGAAUCUUGGAAUUUUUUUGGUGUUUCUCUGAUAAAAUAGAUACUUAUGUACCUAGAAAUGAUUUUUGGAAAAAAUAAAGAGCAAACUAGAAAGCAGCUACAGUUCAAAUUUGAUGUGCUCCACACGUGCUAUGAUUGUGAAUUAUAAAAUUGAUGUGCUCCAAAUUUGCAACAAAUAUUUGCUAGAUUUUUUUAUAAAAAUAUCAUUUUGGACACUCGAAAAAUGAUUCUCUUACAAAAAACUCAUAUCUUAGAACACUUUUUUUAAUGAUAUUAACAAUAUUCAAAGUUUGUUAUUUUUACUGAAAAGUAGUUCACAUUUGGUGACACAAUGCGAAGGUUUUCUAUUUCCAUAUUUUUAUAAAUUUCUUAGGUAGUCAAAUAACAGACAUGAUUCAAAAUCUUAUUUUCAAUGGAUUAUGACCAAUUUAAAUGGUCUUAACAUCAUCAAAGGGGAUACUCUGUUCUGAUUGGUCUAAAAUCAGCUCACGCGGAUCAUGGCUUAAGCACCGUCGGAUGCGCCCGGAUCCGACGGUAGCCCACACCCCCCUCGUCGAUCUCACCCCCUCCCGAAUCACCUCGUAUCCCUCUCAGACUCGUCUACCCACGAAACCCUAGCCCCCUUCUCCCAAUCAUCGCCGCCGCCCAGAUCCAAUCCAAGUCAGAGCCCCCGGCCUCCAUCUCCAUUCCUGCGUGCAUCGGCCACCUCCCUCCGGCGGAGCUCGACCCCCAAGCACCGCUGCUCCACCCUCUCCCGCGCCCCUCGAUCCCAGAUCCCCAUCUCCAAUUAACCCUCUCCCGCGCCCCUCGAUCCCAGAUCCCCAUCUNNNNNNNNNNNNNNNNNNNNNNNNNNNNNNNNNNNNNNNNNNNNNNNNNNNNNNNNNNNNNNNNNNNNNNNNNNNNNNNNNNNNNNNNNNNNNNNNNNNNNNNNNNNNNNNNNNNNNNNNNNNNNNNNNNNNNNNNNNNNNNNNNNNNNNNNNNNNNNNNNNNNNNNNNNNNNNNNNNNNNNNNNNNNNNNNNNNNNNNNNNNNNNNNNNNNNNNNNNNNNNNNNNNNNNNNNNNNNNNNNNNNNNNNNNNNNNNNNNNNNNNNNNNNNNNNNNNNNNNNNNNNNNNNNNNNNNNNNNNNNNNNNNNNNNNNNNNNNNNNNNNNNNNNNNNNNNNNNNNNNNNNNNNNNNNNNNNNNNNNNNNNNNNNNNNNNNNNNNNNNNNNNNNNNNNNNNNNNNNNNNNNNNNNNNNNNNNNNNNNNNNNNGAUCCCCAUCUCGAAGUCACCCUCUCACUCCCUCAGAUCUCGAUCCGCCACCGCCCACCAUCGACGACCCUCACCAUAGACGAGAUCGAGCUCCUCCCUCCCUCCUGUUCUCCCCUAGCCUGAUCCACUCCGAGCCAACCAACCACUCCGUCCUUGGGAUUUUGUCGCGCGGCGCCUCGUCUCGCCGGCCCGGCGACCACAGGCAGGCAUUCCACGACCAGGAUGGCGGCGUGCCCCGCCACAACCACGUACGCGCACGACACUCCACACCUCCCCUCCCUCUCCUGCGGUUCCUAACAUAUGCGCUCCUCUCCUCUCCUUGGGUGACAUGCAGGGCUCGCGUGGGAGCAGCGCAUGGCGGAGGCCUCUGGAGGAGAAGCAGGAAGAGCCCGACCGUCCUCGCGCGCCCGCCCAUGGCAGGAGCACCACGGCUUGCGCCUCGGAGCUACAACAUCUCCUUGGCGACUUCGUCUUCGGCAUCCUGCCGGCCACGCUCGUUGGCGUCGACCAGCCUGGGUCGUCGGCUCCUCCGAGCCCGAGGUACGGAUUUGGGUCCAUUCCUUUUCCUUCUUGAGCAACCUUGGUGAGCCAGCCGAAGCGAUGUCGAUUCAUCCACCUGAACCCGGUUGAUUCCGCUCUGUAAUGUCUACGUAGCAUCGCCUCUGCACCUGCUCUGUUAGUUCCAUCGCGUACUGCCUAGGUCGACUUCUUUGUAUUGCUUAGCCCUGUCAAGGGAAUCAGGCCGCUGUUGUGUACGGACAUGUAAUCUCUGUGAAAUACUAGAGGAAAUAGGUUGGUUUAGCCAGUAACACCAGCUCUGGAGUGUGCAGAAAUUGCUAUGUUUGUCUGAUUUGUUGGUUUGUAUUUCCAUAUACGAGUUCAGUUCGGCAGGGGAAUGUGGAUAUGGAUAUGUGACAAAUUCCACCUGCACAGGGGAUGUGGAUAUGUGAUGGUGAUAUGAGGAAAUGUGGUUGUAGUAUUUUCUGCACAAUUUCCUCGUGUCUCCAUCACGGCCUCUUUGUAGGUUUAAUUUCCUUGAGACUCCCUGUAGCUUCCUUCUGAAGGAUGGCAAUGUUGCACACAUCUUAGAAUGAAAGCUGAACCAUCCUGAAUUUAGAGCAAUCUCUGAAGAUACAGUGAAAAUUAUUAGAACAAAGAUACAUAGCUCCUUACUGGGUUCCCACCUUACUAAAUUUCUGUGCUGGUUAAUGAUAAUGCUGCUUCUUUUUCAUUGUCUAGACAUUUCGGAUAGCAGGUUCUCCAGCCAGCCGUAUUUUCUUCCAAGAAAUAUUGAAUAACUUGUUUACUUCAUUUUUUAAAAACAGAUAAUACAUAUUGAAUUAUUCAUAUUAAUCUAAAAUAAUAACCAAACAACUAUAGGACAGUGGAUUACUAGCAUGCAUGUGUGACUUAGUUUUUGGUGUGUUUUGCUUGCAGGUCAUUGUUGUGAAGGCCGCCACGGGAAGGCGUGGGGGACUUGGCACAAGGCCGGUGAUCGAAUCUAUGCUCUCUGCUCCAUGGAAAGGCCUAAAUUCAGCUUGACAGAGAGCACACAAAUGGUUGCAUAGUGUGUUUAGGUUCUGGAACUUAUAAUUAGAAGGUUUAGAAAAUGUUAGUCGAGCUAACUGUUCACAAUCUGAAGUAACUUUAACUUGGUACAAAAUUGGUCUGAUAUUAGUUUUAUAUCACAAAAGUAGGGAGGUUCCUACUGCUUAUUAGUAUCACCUUUGGAUUAUUACUGCGUUCGGUUCACCAUUGUACUGAUUAUCUUGGCGAGCAUUUGUUUAAUAACUAGAAUACAUUGUUUGCUGGGCACUCUAUUUACCUUACCUUGCAUGUACAAUGCACAAGGUCAGUUUGCGUACUAUUACAAAUGUCUGCGAGGGUCCUUUGUGCUACUAGUGAUUUUGAUCGAUUCUUUGCAAGACAAUCACGUACACAGAUGCCUAAGCAGCUUAAUUGAUUGCAGCUUAAUUGAUUCCGACUAUCUGAACAAGUUACUGUUAUCCAAAUGAUUUUGCCUACAAUAAGCUAUUAUUCACCAUUGGUUCAGUAGAUGUUUAUGUAGUAGAAAAUUACACUACCAGUGAUAGUCUGAAUCUAACAUGAUCAACAUCUUACUCCUGUAUUUGUCUUGCCCAUAGUACUCCUGUAUGAGUAGCUGUAUACUCCUGUAGUUUUUCCUGCCUGUAGUGCAGAGAUGGAGUAGUUUGUCCUGCCUGUGUGAUGUUCUUUCCAGCAUCUUAGCUGUGUACUCUAAUUACUGGAGUAUUCUAUAGAUUUUUUCAAUUAAAACUACUCCAGAGAUGUUAUUUCCAGCAUUGACAUAAUUUAUUUUCUUUUGUUAAUGGUUACUGCUGAUGGUGCAGACUUUCCAUGUAUGCUCUCACAAUCUAAACUAAUUUAUAGUUUUACUGAAACUGUAGUUUUUGUAGUUUUAUUUUGUGUUCUUAUAGUUUUACUUAAACUGUAGUUUGGUCCAUCUUUACACCAGCUGUAGUUUUCUGAAUUUUUGUGCUUGCUAUGAUGCAGUAUGCUUCGACGGGAGCAUCUGCGGAGAGGGUCAGGGAGUGGGUCUCAGAGCUCGCUCAUCCACUUGGAGGUACGCACCUUGCUAAAUCUUGGUGCAACUUAUCAUCAGAUUUUCUUUGAAACUUGGCGUUGAUUGGUCUGAAGAUGAAACUAUAGUACUAUACACACGACAUGCAGCAGCCACUUAUAUCAAACAGUGGAGCAGUGCUGCUGUCCUGAAUGGAACGACACGAUAUUCAGCAUCGUUGAUAAAUCGUUGUGUGUAUAGCAGGGUUUAAUUAGAUACUUGGAAUUAAUGUCUGCGUGCAUAUAUAACCGAUUGGAUUCUGUAUGUAUGCUUAGAUGAUUGUUUGGCUCUAUAUAAUUGUUGACUUGAAUAUCUUGACUUUCCAAACAAGUAUAGGACUGUGCCUAUGCAUACAGAUUAUCCUAACAAAACUGAAAGUAAAAAUUGAAGCAUGAAAUAAGCAAUAAGUGGCUGAUUUUUAUCUCCAUGUUAGCGGAAAGUUGCAGCCAAGGCUUAUAUAUUACAAAAUAUUGUCUCACAUUUGAGCUUCUACCAUUAUGAGGGACAUUGUAAUCAAUAUCCCCACUGCUAAUUUACCUCAAGUUUAUCGUUUACCAGAAGUUUCAAAUUAGAAGAAGUUUCAAAUUCUUAUGCUGGUUUAUGUUCUCUUUGUAGGUUAUGAGAUAUGGUGCUGGAGAGAUGCCAUUAGCAAACUGGAAGGGCUGCAACCAAAUCCAAUCGGCAGCAUGGCAGUGGUCUCUGAAUAUUCAGCGAUUCCUUUUUUGUUUGGCCUUCUUGUAGGUUUGCACAUAAGUGGAAGUUGUAGUGUAUAUUAGUAGCCGCUGGAGCUGUGAUGGUGAUCUUUCUUUUGAGUGGCUGUCGUUAUGACAAUCUUUUAGUUGCUGCUUCUUAUGUAUAGAUAAUGUGAUGAAGAUGUAACUGCAACAGAUGAUGUAUGAUUGUACAGUGAAACAAAUGUUGCUUUGAUAGCAAAAUUGAAAAAACUGAAUUGUUUCUCUAUUGUCCAGUCCUUUGAAUUAGCGGGCUGAAAAUAUUGAUGGCCUGGAAGAGGCCUUAGCCCAAACAAUAGACAAAAAAAAAUUGAAAGAAAAAAUGUCUUAAAAAAUUUAAAAAGUUAAAUGGACCGCAAAAAGGCCGAGGCCCAAAAAAUGGAAGAAGCUCAGAAAAAAGGCUGGCCCAAAAGAAUAAAUGGUUGUUGGGCUUGGCCCAUGAACCCAACAAAAAAUUGAUGAAAAAAACACAAAUAGGCUGAAUUGUUGGGCUAGGCCCAUGUAGAAAAUCGAAUUGGACCGGGCUGAAUCUUGUGCCACAUCAGAUUGCCACGCUGUAUGCCUACGUGGCCUGGGGAGGUUGCUAGUGACCAAAACGCCACAGUAGACAUAUUUUGGUCAUAAACGUCUACGACCAUUCCAGAAGAAAGGUCGCUAUAGUUAGUUUACGACGGCCAGCUUUUGACCUUAUGUUUUUGGUCACAAAAAGGUCACAAAUGGAAAUUUGUGACCAUUCAGUGACCAAUAGUGGUGGUCACAAGUUGACAUAUUUCUUGUAGUGCCAGUGACGAUGGAGAUCAUGACGAUGUUUUGGAGAUGGGGUCAAAAGCACAAGAUGAUGAUGGCCAUAUCAUCUCACAUAUUUUGAUUGCAUGUGAUGUUUAUCUUUUAUGCAUCUUAUUUUUCUUAGAACAGCGGUAGCAUUAUAAGAUGAUCCCUUUACUGUUCUCCCCGAGUGUGCACCGUUGCCAAAGUCCGUUGUUUCAAAGCACCUCGUGAUGAUUGGGUGUGAUAGACUCUACGUUCACAUACAAUGGGUGUAAGACAGUUUCGCACAUGUAGAAUACUUGGCUUAAACUUGACGAGCCUAGCAUGUACAGACAUGGUCUCGGAACACUGGAGACCGAAAGGUCGAACGUGAGUCAUAUAGUAUAUAUGAUCAACAUAGAGAUGUUCACCAUUGAUGACUACUGAGGGAGUCCUGGAUUAGGGGGUCUCCGGAUAGCCGGACUAUCUCCAUUGGCCGGACGGUUAGACUAUGAAGAUACAAGAUUGAAGACUUCGUCUCGUGUCCGGAUGGGACUCUACUUGGCGUGGAAGGCAAGCUAGGCAAUACGGAUAUGGAUAUCUCCUCCUUUGUAACCGACCUUGUGUAACCCUAACCCUCUCCGAUGUCUAUAUAAACCGAAGGGUUUUAGUUCGUAGGACAACAAUCACAACAUACAAUCAUACCAUAGGCUAGCUUCUAGGGUUUAGCCUCUCUGAUCUCGUGGUAGAUCUACUCUUGUACUACCGAUAUUAUCAAUAUUAAUCAAGCAGGACGUAGGGUUUUACCUCCAUCAAGAGGGCCCGAACCUGGGUAAAACAUCGUGUCCCCUGCCUCCUGUUACCAUCCGGCCUAGACGCACAGUUCGGGACCCCCUACCCGAGAUCCGUCGGUUUUGACACCGACAUUUGUGCUUUCAUUGAGAGUUCCUCUGUGGCGUCGCCGUUAGGCUUGCUGGCUCCUACUAUCAUCGAUAGCGAUGCGGUCCAGGGUGAAACUUUUAUCCCCGGACAGAUCUUCGUAUUCGGCGGCUUUGCACUGCGGGCUAAUUCGCUUGGCCUUCUGGAGCAGAUUGAAAGCUACGCCCCUGGCCGUCAGGUCAGAUUUGGAAGUUUGAACUACAUGGCCGACAUCUGCGAAAACUUGAUCUUCGAUGGAUUCGAGGCACAUGUUGACGCUCAAAAUUGGCACAGUCAUAAAAUUAGCAUAGGUUAUAUCAAGAACAAUUCAAACUUAUGAUUGGAAGUCACCUUGGAAUGUCUCUCUUCGAGAAGAUCAAGAUGGAUAUCAAGAUAGUCUAAAACGGAGCUCGGACUCAAAAGUUAUGACAAGUUCAGAGAUGCUCAUGUUGACACCAGAGUAAAGAAAGGCAUAAAACUCAAUCAAGAUGGCCUCUGGUGGAAUCUGUUUCAACAUGAGAGUUGUGCGUCUCGUCGAAACGAUUGAUUUUGAUAUAAAAAUCGUCUUAAUCCGAGUUCGUAUGCAACCUGUGGAGGCAAAACAAGGUCAGAAACAAAAGCUGCAGAGUCAUUUCGGACCGACCGAGUUGAUUUGAUCGUGAGACCGAGUUUGUCCGAAAAUUUACUAGAGAGUUGGCAAUGUUGACUCGGUAGGACCAAAGCAAACUAAUCGGUAAGACCGAGAUUGAUCCAAAAAGUUACAGAAAGUUGACCACGUUCACUCGGUGGGACCGAAGCAAACCAAUCGGUGAGACCGAGAUUGAUCCGAAAAUUGCCAAAGAUUCCUAUGCGAGUUAGGUUAGGGUUUUUGAUGUUUUGGACGGAAUUUUUAGUCCUUUUCUUGUACGGGAAGUCCAGCCGCCUCUUAUAUAUGUUGGGGGUGACGGCUGACUGAAACAACACACAAUCGAACAAAUCUAUCUACAUCUUUUACCUUUACUUUUCCUUCUCCCUUGUUCUUCUUCUUCCUCGUUCUUCGUUCGUUCUUCUUCAUUGUAGGGCGGCGAACCUCGAGGCCCUAGGGGCGAUCAGGUCGACCUAGGGCAGCCCAUAGUCGCUACGCGCCCUGACGGGGUCCCUCCCGGGCGUGUGGGGUUUCGGGUCCUCAAAAGCGCCCGCCGGAUUGUCUUGCGUACCGCGCUUCCGGCAGGUCUCCUUCGACAUGAACUGUGGUGCAUCACCCCCGGCGUCGAGGGUACACGAUGACGUGUUCGUGUGCGAACACACUUUUUGGCGACUCCGCUGGGGACGAAGCUUUGAACGGUCUCCGGCCCGUUCUUGCUACGAAGAGAUCGUCAUCUAGGGUUUGCAAUCUACAAAGGUAAUAUGAAUACCCAAUUCACAUAUGUAGAUGCAAAUAAUGCGUAUGUUGUUGCUAGAUCAUCUAAUGAGCAUAAUGUAUCGGCUAGCCCUAUAUUUAUCAAUCAUGCAUCUAAUUAUGUGCAAGGGCCGAUGCAACAAAAUCUCCAUGAUUCUAUUUCAUAUAAUUCUAGCAACAUGCAACAUAUGUAUCCCAACCCUCAUGCAUCGGCAACCCCACAAAUCCAUAUGCCGAUGAACAACAUGAUGGGUUCGGUUAAUCGAUUUGAAACACCUGAUGUUAAAAUUUCCAAUAGCAUAGAAGAGAGUGUUUCACCUUUUUAUUCAUCGGCAACUAAUUUGCAGUAUGUGAAUCCAAACGUGCCGGUGGAUAGGGGAAUUGGCCAUGUUACUACUAGUUAUUUGGCCAAUUACCCUCAAACAUCAUAUGCUACACCUAAUGCUACUAAUUUUUUGGCACCAUACGCAACUGUUGAUGUCCAUAAUUCGGCUCCGCACCUUCAUGGUCAUGGCCGAAUAAGUGAAACUUCUGCAGGAGCACAAAUGCCUUCACCUACUACCGUGGCAUAUCAUGUACCCCCUACACAAUUACAGAAUUUCAGCAACAUCUCAUUGCCGAAAGAGUCUAAAAGCAUCGGGGGGCAACCAUAUCCAGACUGGGUGGUUGAGAACAAGCUUACAUUCUCUUGGGAUUUGUGCAACUCCAUUCGACAGGAACUAAUAGAAGGAGGGAAGCCUCAUGAUUUUGCUGCAGUAAAAGCUAGAGUUGUGCAAAUGAUGCAGUCGCCCAGUGUUGUACCAUCUAGUGUACCCCCUAAACAAUUGCAAAGUUUCGGCACCUCAUUGCCGGAAAAGUUUGAAAGUAUUGGGGGGAAAUUUCAUGAGGAGUGGAUGGAAAUUGAGAUGAAAAGGUUCAAAGCUCGCUAGGCUGAGAUGUGGGCUAAAAUUAGACAAGAGCGAGAAGCCUUGCAAAUUCAAAAAGAUAAAGAUAUUGAUUCGGGUAACAAAGAAAAUCCAGUUAUUGAAAAAGCCGAAUCAAGUAGUAUAUAUUCUGAGUCCAUCAAAUCCAAAGAAGCAAGCAUUAUUGAGAAAGGGCAUGGCAAGCGUAGGAAAACAGCGGUGCUUGAUUUUUCUGAAGUUAGCGGAACCUACUUCCUGCCCUAUGAGUUUCGUGCCAUAGAAAUUGACAAGCCUCUAGGACAAGAGCAAGUAGCUGAACAAAGUUUGGCUGACAAGGAUCUUCAAAGUAAUGUUGCAUGGAAUCAAGAAAAAUAUGAUGAUAAGGCGUUGGGGAGCCAUCCAAAGAUAGAUCAAGAUAUUGUUCAAGUCACACCACCAUCAUGCUCUCCCAACAAAUUUGAAAAAGUAUGCCUAGCAAGUAAUUUUCCUAUUUCUAGAUUUGGUCGCAACUUCAUAGUUGAUGCAUCUAUUAGAAAAAUCCUCAUAAGUAAUUUUGAAAGACCAAUGAAGAAGGGUUAUUUACUUGUUAGCAACAAAAUUGUUAUUGAGCAUAUCGGUCAACCCAUUGUGCCAUUCAGAAAGACCGAUAGCGAAAAAUUAUUGCAGCCAAGGCUUUCCCCGUUGCUUUAUCUAAAGCUCAUAUCUAAUUGGGUAGCUUUGCUUAUUUCUUACUUGGCUUACACUUGGUCUCAAUUGAGACAUGUAUGUUUUAACUAUUUUUGUUUCAGAAAUUUAAAGCCAAGGUUAAAAUCUUUUGAGCAAACCGAUGCCAGUAUAGUUUCUUAUCCAAAGACAUCGGAGGUAGAGUGAAAAACACAAUGCAUAGUCGAAUGGGGUGAUGCAAAAUCUGAAUCAUUCAUUUGCUUAACUCCAAAGCCGUUCUCACAACAAGAUCGGCUAGAGAAUAAAAAAUUUACCUUCAGUUCAAGCAUGUGUGAUCAAAUAUUUGAUUUAUUAUUGAGAAAUAAUUAUAUUAGAAUUCUUGACCACCAUGUUGAGCCAUCUGUCCAGGUACGAAUGUAUUAUAAGUUGCAUGAUUCGUCCAAGCAUAAUUUUGAGGAUUGCAAGAUGUUCCGUCAAAUAGUUAAAUCAGCAAUUGAUAAAGGACGAUUAAAAUUUGUUGAGACACCAACAGAUGACGAGUCUAUUCGAAUUGGUCCUGAUGGCAAAAGGUUUUUGCAUCGGCUGCUUCAAGCCGAUCCAUUUAAAGAGAAGGUAAAAACUACAGGUGAUGGGAUUGAGCUUUCAAGUAAUCAAGUUGUUGAAGAGCAUAAUGAACAUAAUCUUGAGGGCGAGAAUUCCAUCGAAACUACAAUGAAGACGCCAAAGACUGGGGGGCACCAAGCAAAUCCAAUGAUCGACGAAAGCAAAUCAAAAGAAAACAAAGGCCGAAAUAAGCGCAAGUAUAAGAGAUCAAAAAUCGCCUUUGCUGAACUAUUGGAUAAAUACCGAAAGAAGAGUGAUGAGAAGAAUGCUUGUCGGCCCAAUCCUGGAAAGAAACAAAGAUCACCCCCAAGGCGCAAAUAUGAGGAUUGGUAUUGGCAAAGUGAGUAUUUUAAUGCAACAUAUUCAUAUCCUUAUUUUAAGCCACCAAUGCCAAUGUCGUGGAUGCCUCCCUAUGCUCAUAUAGAUCCAUAUCCAUCAUGGGACAUGUAUGAUACAAGGGCACAUUCUCCAUCUUAUUUUAGAUCAUCUCACCAAUAUUAUGCAGCUCCGAGAAGAUCAACAUUUGAACAAUCACAUGUUAAAGACCGCUUCAGUCAUAAGAAAUUGGUCCAGAGCUCAAGGAAGAAGAAAGAGGUGGUCAAGCAAGUUUACCGUGUUAAAAGAGAUGGUCGUAAGAGUGCAACUUCAGAUUUGAUCUCAAAUGAAAAAGAGCCAAUUAAUGUGUUGACAUUGGCUACUAAAGACAAUGAGACAAAGCAACCAAUUAUUGAGAGUCGAAGUGCCAAAUCUGAAGAAAAGAAGUUGAGAGUGCACAAGGCCAAAAAGGAAUUGUCAUUGGUCAAAACAGAAUCACGGCCGAGAUGCCCACUCAUCUUAUCCUAUUGGCAAAAGAGGGAACUACAAAAACUUAGUGCACAUGAACUUGAAGAAAGGAACAUGGCAUGGGUUCCCAAAGGAAGUGCUCAAAAUAAGAAUUAUGUGAAAGCAUCCAUUACACGACGUGCGGCAAAGAUGAAGAAGGAAAAGAGUGAAAACUAUGAAGGACCAAGCCGAAGGUUUCAACAUCUUCGUUCCACACAUUAUCCAUAUUCUUCAACUAUGUCAUUGAUGCCUAUGCCAUGGAAUUCGUCAUCAGGUAUGAUUGGUUACCCUCAAUGGACUUAUUAUAAUCCAUGGAUGCAAUAUAAUUUCUUACAUCAUGAAAGGGUAUUGCCAAAUAACUAUACAUUUGAUUAGCUACAAGUUUGUUGCUGAUCCAAAGGGCCGAAAUACUUGAUUUGUCAUUUCAUUUGUUUAUUUCGGCUAUAUGUGCUUUGAAUGAAGUUUACAUAGUAAUGGACGAUAUAUACUUACCGUCCUAAGAAGAUGCAGAAUGGACGACGGAGUGUUGACAUCGUCCUUAGAACCAACAUGGUACAAGUUAUUUUUUGGCACGCUAGCUAUGCCGAAAAACAGGGGGGCAUGUGUUGACGCUCAAAAUUGGCAUAGUCAUAAAAUUAGCAUAGGUUAUAUCAAGAAAAAUUCAAACUUAUGAUUGGAAGUCACCUUGGAAUGUCUCUCUUCGAGAAGAUCAAGAUGGAUAUCAAGAUAGUCUAAAACGGAGCUCGGACUCAAAAGUUAUGACAAGUUCAGAGAUGCUCAUGUUGACACCAGAGUAAAGAAAGGCAUAAAACUCAAUCAAGAUGGCCGCUGGUGGAAUCUGUUUCAACAUGAAAGUUGUGCGUCUCGUCGAAACGAUUGAUUUUGAUAUAAAAAUCGUCUUAAUCCGAGUUCGUAUGCAACCUGUGGAGGCAAAACAAGGUCAGAAACAAAAGCUGCAGAGUCAUUUCGGACCGACCGAGUUGAUUUGAUCGGUGAGACCGAGUUUGUCCGAAAAUUUACUAGAGAGUUGGCAAUGUUGACUCGGUAGGACCGAAGCAAACUAAUCGGUAAGACCGAGAUUGAUCCAGAAAGUUACAGAAAGUUGACCACGUUCACUCGGUGGGACCGAAGCAAACCAAUCGGUGAGAUCGAGAUUGAUCCGGAAAUUGCCAAAGAUUCCUAUCUGAGUUAGGUUAGGGUUUUUGAUGUUUUGGACGGAAUUUUUAGUCCUUUUCUUGUACAGGAAGUCCAGCCGCCUCUUAUAUAUGUUGGGGGUGACGGCCGAUUGAAACAACACACAAUCGAACAAAUCUAUCUACAUCUUUUACCUUUACUUUUCCUUCUCCCUUGUUCUUCUUCUUCCUCGUUCUUCGUUCGUUCUUCUUCAUUGUAGGGCGGCGAACCUCGAGGCCCUAGGGGCGAUCAGGUCGACCUAGGGCAGCCCAUAGCCGCUACGCGCCCUGACGGGGUCCCUCCCGGGUGUGUGGGGUUUCAGGUCCUCAAAAGCGCUCGCCGGAUUGUCUUGCGUACCGCGCUUCCGGCAGGUCUCCUUUGACGUGAGCUGCGGUGCAUCACCCCCGGUGUCGAGGGUACACGGUGACGUGUUCGUGUGCGAAUAGUACAGCCGAGCGCGCCGCACUAUCACGAUGGGUAUGACCUAGCUCUGCCGCCGAACAGUACCCCAGAGGCCGCGCCCGCAUCAGCUCCGACCCUUAGCUCGGAGCCAACUGAGCCAAUCGAGGACGGGUGGUUAGACACCGCCUUAGGGGCUGCAGUCUCAACGGCGAUCGAGCCAAACACCAGCAUAAUCCUCUGCGCAGCCCGUGACUCCAAGGUGUCGGACUCUUUUUCUGACUCCGAACCGCCCGCGCCCCUGCCAAUCGAAUCCGAUUGGGCGCCGACCAUGGAAUUCACCGCCGCGGAUAUCUUUCAGCACUCGCCCUUCGGCGACAUUCUGAAUUCACUAAGGUCUCUCUCUUUGUCAGGAGAGCCCUGGCCGGAUUAUGGCCAACAGGAUUGGGAUGCGGACGACGAAGGAAUUUGACGCCCACCCACCACCCACUUAAUAGCCACUGUCGACGACUCAACCGACAUGCUCGACUUCGACUCCGAAGACAUCGACGGUAUGGAUGACGAUGCGGGAGGCGAAGAGGAACCACCGCCCACAGAGCGCUGGAUGACCACCUCAUCAUAUGACGUAUACAUGGUGGACACACCAAAAGAAGACGAUGACGAGGAACAGAAGGACGCACCGAAGGCUUGUUCCCUCGAGAAACAGUCAAAGCGGCGGCGCAAGCGCCGCCCCAAAUCCCGCCUCGGCAGAAAUAAAGAUCAUACAGACCCAGCGUUGGAGCAGGGCGAACCACUGCCGAACCACAGCAAUACGGAGAAUCAAACCGAACAAACCAAUUCUAUCAAAGGUAAUAGUCCGGAUGACAUAACGCCGGACAGGCACCCGGAGCAGCAGAAUGCCCGUCAAAGGCUUGUUGCCACCAUGAGGAGUCUGAAAAAGCAGAAGCAGAGGCUCAAGGCUGCGCAGGACACACUCCAAAUCAGAUGGAGCAAAGUACUCAACACAGUAGUGAAGUACGGCGGCAAUCGCCCAACCAAGAGCUACCCAAAGCGGAAGUUGCUACCUGAAUUCGAUGAGGAGGCCUCAGACCCCCCACAACCAAAAAUAAAAACGGCCAGCUGGCCGGAUAGACGACCUCACGGCCAACAUAGAGCGGCAAACAACGCCACCCACAAGCCAAUACGCGACCCACGCGAGGGCUCGCACCAAAAGGACAGUGCAACUAGAUCCAUCUAUGGACCAUGCAAGCGUGCCCCAGCAUAUGAUGUAACACAACAAACAUCCAAACAACACGGUACACCCAGAUACAGGGGUGCCGCACACCCCCUAUGUUUCACCGACGAGGUGCUGGACCAUGAAUUUCCAAAGGGAUUCAAACCCGUAAACAUAGAGGCAUACGACGGAACAACAGACCCUGGGGUCUGGAUUGAGGACUAUAUCCUCCAUAUCCAUAUGGCUCAAGGAGAAGAUCUCCACGCCAUCAAGUACUUACCCCUCAAGCUCAAAGGGCCAGCUCGUCACUAGCUUAAAAGCCUCCCCGAAAACUCCAUUGGAAGCUGGGAAGAGCUCGAAGAUGCUUUUCAGACAAAUUUUCAAGGGACUUAUGUCCGACCUCCGGACGCGGACGAUUUGAGUCAUAUAACUCAACAGCCCGGAGAGUCAGGACGAAAACUUUGGUACAUGUUUCUUACUAAAAAGAACCAGAUUGUCGACUGUCCGGAAGCCGAAGCAUUGGCAGCUUUUAAGCAUAGUGUCCAUGACGAAUGGCUUGCCAGACACCUCGGCCAAGAAAAGCCGAGAACAAAGGCAGCAUUAACAAGCCUCAUGACCCGCUUUUGCGCGGGUGAGGACAGCUGGGUAGCCAGAUGCAACACCAGCGACCCCAGUACAUCUGAAGUUAGAGAUGGAAACGGGAAAUCAUGGUGCAACAGCAAUAACAAACGCCGGAAUAAAGAAGACAACACGAAGAGCAUGAAAGUAAACGCCGGAUUCAAAAGCUCUCGGCCAGGUCAGCAAAAGCCGCCCUCUAAAGGCGCCAGAGAUGAACUGUCCAGCCUAAACAAAAUUCUGGACCAAAUAUGUUAGAUCCAUAGCACCCCUGGUAAACCCACUAAUCAUACUCACAGAUAAUGUUGGGUCUUUAAGCAGUCCGGCAAGCUCAACGCCGUACACAAGGGGGAGGAUGCACCAAGUGAAGACGAGGAUGAGCCUCUCAAGCAAGACACUGAGGAACAAAAGAAAUUUCCACCAGAAGUCAAAACAGUAAACGUGUUACACGUGAUCAAGGGGAGAAACAAAACGGCACUCCCAGGAAAAUAUGCCCAAGGGCCUAUCACCGCAGAGCCCUGCCACUAGUCGUCUCAACCAAUCACUUUCGACCAUCAUGAUUACUCAGCAAGUAUCCGGCGUGUAGGAUGGGCUGCCCUGGUAUUAGACCCAAUAAUCGACGGAUACCACUUCACACGAGUCCUGAUGGACGGUGGCAGCAGUCUCAACCUGAUAUACCAGGAUAAAAUCUGUGAAAUGGGGAUAGACCCAACGAAAAUUUGCCAUAGCAAUACUACCUUUAUAGGGGUAACGCCAGGCCUAGGGGCUCAUUGCACGAGCUCCCUGCUACUAAAGGUUAUAUUCGGCUUCCUUGAUAACUUCCGUAGCGAACAUUUAACCUUCCACAUCGCUCCGUUCCAAAGCGGCUAUCAAGCACUACUUGGACGCGAAGCUUUUACUCGCUUUAAUGCAAUACCACAUUACGCUUCCCUGACGCUCAAGAUGCCCAGUCCACGCGGCAUCAUUAUAGUGAACGGAAGUAUUAAGCGAUCUUUGCACGCCGAAGAGAAUGCGACUGCCUUGGCAGCUCCUCACCAACUAAAGCAUUUGAUAGGUCGUCAAGGCCACAGACGCGGUUAGACGAGUCCGGCACUGCUAUAUGUAAUUUGUGCCGGAUGGAUGGCCACACCCCUAUUACAAAUACAAGGGGCUCAACACGCACCGAGAAAUGAUCAUCGUGCUACACCCGUCCAGGAUACGGCACAACGGAAACACAAGUGCAGAUGUGCAGCAGGGACCCGUUCCAAGGAUUCGUUUUAGAUUAAGACCCUGUGUAAACCUUCUUUACUGUCUCUUGUUGAUACACAUCCACCGAAUUCUCAGCACAAUUGGGAAGGAUGCUGAUGUCUUGGCAUGUCGCCGUGUCAGAAUAAUGCACGUACCUAGACACAAGGGGCUUCUUACAAAGGGCACUAUUUAGGCCCGGUUUAUACAAUAAAGACUGAAUACCUUAGGGAGUGUUCGGCGUCGCGAGUUUGGCCUUAUAUGCAUCACCUCCGAAUCAUUGUCUUUGGUCAAAUGUUGGGUUUGCCCGGCUCCUGUGUUCUGGUGCCUUACGAUCCGCUUUAUCGGCUAAGGCAGCACCAGGAGAACUACUGCGAUUGUGCCCUGGUUCAUCCGGACGAGCACCUCAGUAGAGAAAGCCGAAAACUGACUUUCAUGAUAUAGCGUGAGACUAGUCAACCACUCGAUGACCUAUCGGAAUGUUAGAAUUCCUCCUCCUUAACAAAGGGCCGUUUUCCUGCCAGGCAUGUACGCACCCCGAGCUCGGGAGAGUGCGGAGCCACCAGGGGCUAUCUAGUAGCCCCACUGUCAAACUCCUAUGGCUAAGUGAAAGUGCUAAAGCAUUAUAGUCCGGUUGCCUCGCUCGCUCCGCUAUCACCUCCUUAAUAGGACCAAGACGUUGGGUUAAGUGUGAACACGAGUUUUUUGCGAGCACCUCCGCAUUAUAUGCGUGGGGGUUGAAGCCGACGACUGCAAUCUUUCAGGUUAUAUACAUAUAUACACAAACGGCCACACAUGAGCAUCACAUUACUUUCCGGCAAAAGUAUAAAUACAGCCUUACUAUAUUUCAUAAAAACAUUGUGUUUACAAUGGGAAUACAUGUCAUUCAAACAUAAUAUUCUUCGAGCACUGGGACUCCAUCAAACGAGCACCCUCAAGAACCUCUUCAAAAUAGUGCUCGGCAGCUACUCGGCCUAUGGCCGAACCUUGCGCCACAAUAGUGGUAGCAUCCAUCUCCGCCUAGUAUGCCUUGACACUGGCAAAGGCCAUCCGCAAGCCUUCUAUGGACGCCAACCUCUUCAUCGUGUUGAUACGCGGCACCGCACCAAGGAACUAUUCCACUAAGCUGAAAUAGUUGUUUGGCUUCGGCUUCUCCGGCCACAAAUGAUCUACAACAGACCUCAUGGCGAGUUUGGACAACCUAUUAAGUUCGGCCCAUUCGGCUAGCUGAUCAGUCAAGGGAAGCGGACGCUCUGGAACGUUGAAUUGCGACCAGAAUAGCUUGUCCACUUCACGGUCUGAUUGAUCUUGGAAGUAUUCGACCGCAUCGACAGUGCUCGCCGCCAAGUCCAUAUAUGCGUCUGCUGAACUCCACAGCCGAUCCAGAGGGGCAUACCGAGGAUCUCCGAACUUCCUCCACAGCAGAAAGGGCUUCCCAGCCGCAAUAUCCCCGGCUUCGCGCAGCUCCUCCUUCUUCGCCCUCAUAGCAGAGCGGCUGUCUUUGGUCACCAUAGUGGCCUUUUCAAGGUCCGCUCCCUUCACUCGGUUUUCUUCUUCAAGGAACUGGAAACGGUCGGCAGUGCCUUUUAAUUCUACGGCCAUCUUGGCCAUCUUUUUUUUGCUUUCGCAAUGGGCGGCCUUCUCGGCUCUUAACUCUUAGGCCGCCUUCAAAGUAGCCGCAUUACUAACCCUCGCUUGUUCCUUGGCUCGGGCGAGUUCCGCCCGAAGGGUCUCCACGGUGGCAGCUUCGUCUGCAGUCACAACAUAUUAAAGAUACUGACAUCAUGCUGCUCUUAUUGUGUGACAUUCACCAGAAAACAUUACUUACCCUGUGAUUCAUCAAGCCGCUUGUUAACAAGCUCGAUGUUGGUGUCUGCCACAUCCAGUUGCCGUUUUAAUUCGGCAAACUCACUAGUCCGGCUAGCCACCGGAGCUUCCACCAACUGCACAUAAAGGCAGUCUGGUUAUUGCCUGGGACUAUGAUCCUCUGUUCGCCGCUGUUCUCGACGACAACCAGAGUCUCAGGGGCUACUAUCUACACAGGGCACACCUAACAUGUGCGGUACUAUCACAUAUUAUUUCACGUACCUCAAAGCCUGUCAGUAGACUCAUAAAGGCUUCAUGUAAUACGCUUUCGGCGGACGAAAUUCUUUCCAUCACCAUACCCAUCAGCGUACGGUGUUCUUCUGAGAUGGCUGCUCGCCCCAACAGCUCCCUUAGAACGUCCGACCGCAUACCUGAUGGUGCCGGACUCUUUUGUUUGCUCUCUUCGAGAGCCGGACGCUAGGGACUUCGAGGAUCUAUGGGAUUAUCUUCUGGCCUCACCGGGUCCGGAGAGGCCCUCCGUGACGACACUUCGGGGUCGCCCGCUUCUUGAGCGGAGGAGUCCGGGGGAGGCGUUUCGCUCUCCAUCAUCUCCGGAAGAAGAUCCCCCGAAGACGAGCUCAACUGAGAAGGGCUAUGACCCGAACUACAAGAUAUAUGCGGCGGUUAUUUUCUCAGAAGAAAGAUAGUAUACCUCCACUAUUAAAGUAUUUUUUUGGAUCACUUAUGACUCGUUGGAGGGCUGAUCCUCCCGCGGACUUUGUGCGGCAAGAGCACCCCCCGAGGCAGGACCCUCUGUUGGAGACUUCUUCUCUCGUUUGGAGGCCCCGGCUUUCGGAUCCUCGGAAGCAGUCCUCUUCCUCCCCCGGUUAUCCUCCUUUAAGGAGGCGUUCAUUCCCUUGGUUGAAACUGGCAGCGAUGGGGGCCCGCUUCCACCCAUGUUAUUCUCCCCUGUAUCUUCCUUCGAGGGCUCCGGGCAAGGUGCGAGCUCGAGCAUCUUUUCCAAUACCGGAUUUUCCAAACCCUCAGGGAGGGGGGCCGAACACCGAAUCAUCUUCGCCUUUGUUAGCCAGUCCUGGUCAAAGAGCGAUCUCUUAGAAAUAACUUCAUGAUGAAUAAAAGGCGGUGUGUUCAGCUAGAGGAUUUCUUACUUGUUCGGCGGUGCGGUUACUGCUCAGGCCCACAUCCUCAGUUGUAUCCGGACACUCUAUUUGAGGUCCGAAGAAUGACUUGUAAAUAUCCUCGUGCGUCAGGCCGAGGAAACUUUGAAUGGCACGCGGUCCUUCUGGGUUGAACUCCCACAAGCGAAGGGGCCGGCGUUUGCAAGGCUGGACUUGACGAACCAACAUAACUUGUAUUACCACUACCAAAUCAAAAUCUCCCUCGAAGAGAUCUCGAAUGCGGCUUUGCAGUAUCGACACGUCCUUGGCUGGUCCCUAGCUCAGACCUCUGCUAAUCCAUGACUAGUCGUGGUGGGGGGCCUGAGCGGUAAGCGAGGGCAGCCGCCCACUUGGCACUUCUGGGAGCUGUGACGUAAAACCACUCCUGGUACCAUAAUUCGGACACCUCUGGAAAGGAACCUUUCGGCCAUGGAGCUCCUGCCAUCUUGCCUAUUGAUGCACCUCCGCACGCUGCAUGUUGCCCCUCGAUCAUCUUCAGCUUCACUUCAAAGGUCUUGACCCACAGGCCGAAGUGAGGGGUAAUGCGGAGGAAGGCCUCACACACGACAAUAAAUGUCGAGAUGUGGAGAAAGGAGUCCGGAUCUAGAUCAUGGAAAUCUAGCCUGUAAUAGAACAUCAAACCCCUGAUUAAGGGAUCCAGAGUGAGGCCUAGGCCUCGGAGGAAGUGGGAGACAAACACGACGUUCUCGUUAGGUUCGGGAGUAGGGACGACCUGCCCUCGAGCAGGAAGCCGAUGCGAAACCUCGGCGGUCAGGUAUCUGGCCUCCCUCAACUUCUUGAUGUCCUCUUCCGUCACGGAGGAGGCAUUCAUCGGCCUUGAAGGCUGGAUCCGGACAUGAUUGAAGAUCCGGAGCACCUAACCUGGGCUUUGGGUGUUGGAACUCGAGGCGGGGGAAGGGUUCGAUUGAGCACGGGAGGAAGAAAGCGAAAACCUUGUCCCUUUAUAAAGAGGGUGAAUAUCAAGCGUCACUACAAGAAAUAUGUCAACUUAUGACCUUCUGUCAGUGACCCUCGAAGAAUUGGUCAUAAAUUUAUGACCAUUUUAGACCAAUUGGUCAAAACCUGUUCAGGGGGCUCCAAACCCUAAACCAUUGCGACCAUUUUGGUUAGAAAGGUCAUAAUUUCCUUACAUGAAAUGGUCACAAAGCAAACAGUGCUAGUCCGCUGCCUUAUUUCUAGUUGUUAAUGACCAAUAUAGAUGGUCAUAGCCUUGUAGAUUGUGGUGGGUUGUGAUGACUAGGCGCCAUCUCAUCAGUUUUGCCUAUGUGUCAUGUCCAUGUGGCAGUUUUUGCCCUAGGUUGUGAAGCAACCUAUAUUUCUAUCAUUCCCAAAAUUGCCAAAAAAAUCUCAUAAAUUCUUUGGGGCAUAUCUUCAUCAAAUAUGUAAAAAUCCUUCCUUGCCUAGUUCAAAACUAAUUCAACAAUAUUCAUUUUCCUAUUCUGUUCACAACAACACUUUAUGAAGGAAGUGCUAUUUAUAUAUUCUUGAUUGCCCUCGGAAUUUUUGGGCACUCUUUCCUAUCCAAAUCAUUACCGCAUGACAAAAUUCAGCUCCAUUUGCCUAGCAAAUCUUCCUCGGCAAAUUUCCAAAGUUUUUGUCCACCUAGAAGCAUUGUGAAGGAAGUAUCGUUUUUAUAUCUCUAAAUGACAUGAAAUUUAUACAGUUCCUUCAUAUGCCCAAAUUAUCACCCUCCUCCAAAUUGCAGCUCAGUCAAAUCAUCUAUGUGAGCCCAGGUUCAAUUUAUAUUUUAUGGCCAAAUUGGCAAGUUGCAAAGCAAGUGUUAUAUAGACCCCUCCUAUACCCUCAAACUUUUCGGGCACUCUUCCAUACCCAAAUUAUUGCCACAUGAUAAUAUUCAGCUCAAUUUUCCUAGUAAAUCUUUCUCAGGAAAUUUCCAAAGUUUCUACCUCGAGAGAAGCUUUGUGAAGUAAUUACUAGCUAGGCUUACCCAAAUGAUCUGAAAAUUUACCAGCGCAUGACCAUACCUAUGUAACUUACCUACGCAAAUUUUUAGCUCAUUUCAUUCAUCCAACCUCUCUUACUAGUUUUCCCAAGUUUUUGUCCAUAGAAGAGCAUUGUGAAGGAAGUACUACUUUGGCAUGUCAAAAUGAUAUGAAUUUUCUACAAUGCUUUCCUAUGCCCAAAUAACCAUCCUCCACCAAAUUUCAGCUCAAUCCAUUCAUUAUUUUGAGCCGAGCUUCAACAUUCGUAUUUAUGUCCAAUGUGGUACUUUGCAAAGCAAGUACCACCUAGGGUCCUCCUUUUGAGCUGAAAAUUUGUGAAUACAUUCUCCUUAGUAGAUGAUCAUCCUCGGCCAAAACUCACGCCCAUUGGCCAUGUGCAUUUCCCAUACCGCUAAUCAAAGACUUGGCUGCUUAUUCAUGUUUGAGCAUCGAUCGGUCUCCUCGUGAGAAUAUUAUGUUGUGAUUUUCUUCCUAACACCUACCUGGGGAGUGCCCAACCCACUAGACAUGCCUAGGCCGCCUAGAACACAUGGCAACGCCAUGGCCACGUGGUGACCACGCGGCGGGCAUGCGAGUUUACGCGCUCUAGAGUUGGGGCCCUCGGCCACCGCCCAAACCUCGACGUAUCGCCACCAAACCAUGUAUUUAUGAUUAAAUAGGUACUUAUGUAACUAGAAAUGAUUUUUGGACAAAAUAAAUAGCAAACUAUGAGGCAACUGCAGUUCAAAUUUGACCCGCUUCCUGCUGAAUCAACGGGAAUUUGUCUUUUUCACCAGAGGUGGAUCAAAAAUUUUGACACCCAACCAUUUUGUCAAUUGUGCAUUAAAUAUGGCCUAGUAUUUUAUAAAAUUGAUUAGGUCCAAUUUUGCAACAAAUAUAUGGUAGGUCCUUCACAAAAAAACUCAUUUCAGGCACUCGGAAAAUGGAAAAUGGUUUUUUCGUCCAAAGAAAAUGAAAACUUCCUUAGGCAACAUUGUUUGCCAUUUCAAUAUGCACCCUUGUGCACAAUAGGAGAUCAUUUGAACAAACUAUGCCAUGAAUGUGGGCAUAGGAUUGAUCAUUUGGCUUGAAAGCCAUGAAUCUUCACGCAUGAUAGCUCAUUUCUGAUAACACUUUUUUAAAAGAAUUGCCGUAUUACAAGUUUAUUAUUUUUCAUGGUAACUUGGUCAUAUAUAAUGACACAAUGCGAAGGAUUUCCAAUUUUUUGAUUUUUUUGAAUUUGUUAUGCCCGUUUCAAUAUGCGGUCAAAACGGUGGGAAUGACCGUUCCUAGCUAGUGGUUGAAUCUUGGAAUUUUUUUGGUGUUUCUAUGAUUAAAUAUAUACUUAUGUACCUAGAAAUGAGUUUUGGAAAAAAUAAAGAGCAAACUACAAGGCAGCUACAGUUCAAAUUUGACCCACUUCCAACUAAAUCGGCGGAAGUUUGUCUUUUUCACCAGAGGUGGAUCAAAACUUUUGACACCCAACCAUUUGGUCAAUUGUGCAUUAAAUAUGUCCUAGUAUUUUAUAAAAUUGAUUUGGUCCUAUUUUGCAACAAUUAUUUGGGAGGUCCUUCACAAAAAACCCUCCUUUUGGGCACUCGAAAAAUGAAAAAUGGUUUUUUCGUCCAAAGAAAAUGAAAACUUCCUUAGGCAACAUUGUUUGCCAUUCCAAUAUGCACCCUUGUGCACAAUAUGAGAUAAUUUGAACAAACUAUGCCAUGAAUGUGGGCAUAGGAUUGAUCAUUUGGCUUGAAAGCCAUGAAUCUUC